GCAUAUCAAUAAGCGGAGGAAAAGAAACUAACUAGGAUUCCCUUAGUAACGGCGAGUGAACCGGGAUGAGCUCAAAUUUGAAAUCUGGCGUCUUUCAGGCGUCCGAGUUGUAAUCUAUAGAGGCGUUUUCCGCGCCGGACCGCGUCCAAGUCUCUUGGAAUAGAGUAUCAAAGAGGGUGACAAUCCCGUACUUGACGCGACAACCGGUGCUCUGUGAUACGUUCUCAACGAGUCGAGUUGUUUGGGAAUGCAGCUCUAAAUGGGUGGUAAAUUCCAUCUAAGGCUAAAUAUUGGCGAGAGACCGAUAGCGAACAAGUACCGUGAGGGAAAGAUGAAAAGCACUUUGGAAAGAGAGUUAAACAGCACGUGAAAUUGUUAAAAGGGAAACGAUUGAAGUCAGUCGUGUGAAAGGUUAUUCAGCCGUCUCUGGCGGUGUAUUUGCCUUUCACGGGUCAACAUCAGUUUAGUCCGGUAGAAAAAGGCUGGAGGAAGGUGGCACCCUCGGGUGUGUUAUAGCCUCCUGUCACAUGUGCCGGAUUAGACUGAGGAACGCAGCUUGCCGCAAGGCCGGGGUUCGCCCACGUACAAGCUUAGGAUGUUGACAUAAUGGCUUUAAACGACCCGUCUUGAAACACGGACC
rnacentral:rRNA from 1 species